rnacentral:rRNA from 1 species
GACGAACGCUGGCGGCGUGCUUAACACAUGCAAGUCGAACGGAAAGGCCCUGCUUUUGUGGGGUGCUCGAGUGGCGAACGGGUGAGUAACACGUGAGUAACCUGCCCUUGACUUUGGGAUAACUUCAGGAAACUGGGGCUAAUACCGGAUAGGAGCUCCUGCUGCAUGGUGGGGGUUGGAAAGUUUCGGCGGUGGGGGAUGGACUCGCGGCUUAUCAGCUUGUGGGUGGGGUAGUGGCUUACCAAGGCUUUGACGGGUAGCCGGCCGGGGAGGGUGACCGGCCACAUUGGUGCUGAGAUGCGGCCCAGCCUCCUACGGGAGGCAGCAGUGGGGAAUAUUGCACAAUGGGCGGAGGCCUGAUGCAGCAACGCCGCGCGCGGGAUGACGGCCUUCGGGUUGUAAACCGCUUUCGCCUGUGACGAAGCGUGAGUGACGGUAAUGGGUAAAGAAGCACCGGCUAACUACGUG